GCGCUUGCUUCGGCAGCACACAUACUAAAAUUGGAACAAUACAAAGACUAGCAUGGCCCCUGUGCAAGGAUGGCAUGCAAACUCGUGGAACUUUCCAUAUUAAA